CUGCCCGUGUCAGCAAUCCGCUCUCACCCCAUGCUAGCCCCACCCCGUUCCCUCGGGCUUAUACUGUCAAGCACUUCCUCAUUAAAUCAGACCUGCGCCGUCAGCCUCGUCUCCGUGUGGGUUCUUCCCCUCGUCCUUACUUGCCUGCGGCCCCUCUGCGGACUCCUCACCCAGCGAGCCGCAACCUCAUCAUUGGAGAGUGGAUGUAACUCAGUGGGACUGAUGCUGUUACAGCUACAUUAA
rnacentral:lncRNA from 1 species